AUUGAACGCUGGCGGCAGGCCUAACACAUGCAAGUCGAGCGAGCGGCGGACGGGUGAGUAAUGUAUGGGAAACUGCCUGAUGGAGGGGGAUAACUACUGGAAACGGUAGCUAAUACAGCAUACCAUCAGAUGGGCCCAGAUGGGAUUAGCUAGGGGGUGGGGUAACGUCUCACCUGGGCGACGAUCCCUAGCUGGUCUGCGAGGAUGACCAGGCACACUGGAACUGUGACACGGCCCAGACUCCUACGGGAGGCAGCAGUGGGGAAUUUUGCACAAGGGGAGAAAGCCUGAUGCAGCCAUGCCGCGUGUGUGAAGAAGGCCUUCGGGUUGUAAAGCACUUUCAGCGGUGAGGCGUUACCCGCAGAAGAAGCACCGGCUAACUCCGUGCCAGCAGCCGCGGUAAUAC
rnacentral:rRNA from 1 species